AAUAUUUUUGUGAUGCAAGAUGCUGAAAUGCGUGAUGUUCAUGCAGAAUUUCAUGAAAUUUGGACAUUCGAGGAGAUCGUGACAAAAAUUCAGGUUUGUGAGAAACAUUUGAAAACAACAUUAUUCAUGCCCGAUUUUAUCUUUUUGCCGCGCGCUCCUAGAAUGUCCAAUCUCCAUCAAAUUUUGCAUGAACAUCACGCACAUGCGCAUCUUGCUUGCAAAAAGAAUUGAUUUUUUUUCUAAUUUUUAUGACAUUACUGUUCACCAGGCUCAUCUGAGCCUGGGCUGAGAGGUGGAUUAUCGGGUUCUCAAGAUCUAGUUAUCAGAGUUAUCUACCUUACUAUGCUAUUUUUGGUUACCAGGGUGCUAAUGUCACGCCCAAUAUGCGAUCCUAUUCGAGAGGAACUCGAAGGUUCCACCAAGGAUAGAGCCGCGUAUUGAAGACGCUUUUGCAAGGCUGAGAGGUGGAUUAUCGGGUUCUCAAGCUCUAAUUAUCAGAGUUAUCUACCUUACUAUGCUAUUUUUGGUUACCAGGGUGCUAAUGUCACGCCCAAUAUGCGAUCCUAUCCGAAAGGAACUCGAAGGUCCCACCAAGGAUAGAGCCGCAUAUUGAAGACGCUUUUGUAAGGUGGAUAUCAUUACAUCGUACCAUUACCUAAUGGAUGGGGGUACAUACAAAAGGCAUACAAAUACCACAUGAAUACAAUAACA
rnacentral:lncRNA from 1 species